GAAGCAGACGACCUGUGACGUAAUCUAGUCUGCACAUCGUCAACAAGAACAUAUGUGCUAGAGCAGCGAGGCGACGGAUACCAAUUCUAACUGCAUCAUCUGCUUCAUAUACUGAGCGCAUUCCUAUCAGAAAGUUUUCACAACAGAUUCUGGCUGACAUGGAAGUAGCAGAAACUUAUUCGGCUUCUUACAUCUUCAUCUGAUCUGUACCUCCAUCUUUGCUACUGCCAAGGCGCCUCCUCCGGUGCAGAGACUCCUCGUUUUGGAAGUGCUGGCAAUAUCCGACAUGCAGUCUAUGACUUAAAUCUCACGACUAUUCGGCCGGUUAGUCUUGUCCAAUAUGAUUCCAGUGCUCAAUCCCAGCAAGUGCAUUCAAAACGAUGGAAGGUGUUCCUCUUACGAUUUCCCGUGUUGCUCGAAUUCGGUAUGCGUAUAUGUUCUUCUUGAGGGUAAUAGAUGCAAGGACAAGGGGGCAAUCUGCUCGAAAGGGCCUGGAGGUGUCCAGAAUUGUCUACAGCGUGCUUACUAAUGUAAAAGGAGAUUAUCAAUCAUGGUCUCGAAUUGACGAUGACUACAAAGUGUUUCAGGGAUACAAGCUGUCACGACAACGCUUAAAUGCCGAGUGGAUUGUCCCCCAAAAUUCUGAAACUAUAAAAUAUUGUUCUACUUCUAAUUGAUCAGUAAACUGAAAUUUACUUUCUGUCUUUGCUUUGCUUAUUGUAUCAACCAAUGUCCAUGGUAAGUAAAAUAAGUGAGUCAUAUGUGUGGGUGUUUAAAAAGAAUUAAGUUGUGAAGCUUUCGGAUAGAUAAAAACAACAAUUCUAAACAAAGAUUCAAAAUUUUUUACAAGUCUAAUAUUUAAAACCUAGUAUAUAAGGUAAUCAACCAACCUGUGACAUAUGCCUAUUGUUCCGUACUCAUUUUUUUAUAACCUUUUAGUUUACUGUAAAAUUAUAACAGACUAUACUUUCUUUUAAGCGAAUUUCAUGUUAAGUGUAAAAGUCAGUUUUCAUUUAAUUACACUCAAUUCCUUUAUGAUGGCAUACUAAUUAUUAAUAUCUAAUUUUAGCGACAGACAUCACCAGCUAAUAAUGUUUGUAGACUCUGCAGACUCUUAACAACAUUAAAGUUCAGUGUGUAAGUCACACAUAAUUACAGAGAAACAAUUAUUUCUGGUCUCUCAGAAGAAUUCUCCCGCUUUCUCUUUCUCUCACACACACACACACUGACGUACACAUGUAUGAACUAACCCAAGUGCACUAAACCAACCGUUGUAACUGUCGAACUUCAUGACCAGUAAGAUACCUACGCUUAAUGAUGAUGCGGUACAUUAACUUUAUUUCCUAGAGUAGAAUUGGGAAGAACUUAGUCUGGUUGCACCUUGGUCAUGACUGAAGUGAAAUGAUUUUUCUCUACUUGCAUGAUGCUUAACUAGUACUUUUCCAUAGCACACACACACACGUACACACAAACACAUCGUUUUCAUAUAUAAAUAUAUUUGUAUAAAUUGAAUCAUAUCAGUCAGGUCAAUUUAAGGGGAUACACUGGGAGGUCACAAGACACAAACGGGUACAAGACGGUACAGACAGGUAAACUUCUCGUCGGUUGCCACCUUCCCGUGCUCCGAUGGCUGGGACGGACUGACCUUCUUGAAAUCAUCGUCUCAUGUAAAAGACUAUUAUCGAUCUGUACAUCAUCUACACAAUAAAAUAGAAUGUGGAGGUCACUAAAGACUAAAUGAGGGUUAUAAAACAAGACGUUUAACAGAAAAUUGUAAGAGGAUAUAUGUUUUCAUAAUUAGUUUUAUUCUAUCGAGAAUUUUUCAAUUCAUUUAAGUAUAAAGUUUCAUGAUAUUAAGGACUAGUCUCGCUGUUUUAUCUUAAAUUGCAUCCAAGAUUUGUUCAAAAUAAUAAAAUUUUAGUGUAUGAAAGCAAACUAAUAAAAUUAAAUUAAAUUUUUUUUUUUUGUUCUCUCUCAUGUAUAUAACUAGCACUAGAAUUGUCUGUUUUAAUAGCGACAACUCAACACUUACGGAGACAUCAAGGUAGUGUGCAAUACUUUCGUCAAUCUAAUCAGUAAAUUGUUUAUCUUAAUGCGUUAUGUCAUCAAUUAUCUUUAAGCUUUUUUAUGUUGUUCUCUUUCAUUAAAUGAGAUAACGAAUCAAAGCUUUCGAUUUUGCACAGAUAUAUUUUUUAUUCUUCUAAAAAUAUACUUAAUUUGUAACCGGAUAAGAACAGUCGUUUUUUAAUAGCUUUAAUAUCAGCUCUAUUGAAUUAUUAGAUUAAACAGUCAGAUAAACGUUUUGCCUCUAAAUCACUCACAGUAUCUGUGACAAAAAUUAAAAAAAACAUAAUUCCAAACUGUUUCUCCAAAAAGUCAAUCUUUUUCUUUGUCUUCUCUCAGAUUAAAAUAUCCAGCCCUUCUCCAAAAGAACACAUUAUCUGUUGUGAUGGCCAUGAAACUCAGAACAACUGUAAUAAUCAUCAUGGCUUUGGUGUGGCUGCAAGCAGCAGUUGUUGACGGGUGCACUCCAAACGAUGAUAAGUGUGGCGCAUGGAAACGACCAUGUUGCAGUAAUUCGUUGUGCGUGAGAGUUCCUGAUCAGGGUGAUAGAUGCAAAGACAGAGGGGACAUCUGCCAGACAUUGCCUGGAGGUGCCACGACUUGUCUAAGGCGUGUAUGGUAACGCAAAAGGAGAUUAUCAAUCAUGGUCCCGAAUUGAUGAGGACUUCAGAGAGUUUCAGGGAUACAAGCUGUCACGACAACGCUUAAAUGCCGAGUGGAUUGUAAUAAAAAUUCUGAAACUAUAAAUAUUGUUCUACUUAUGAUUGAUCAGUAAACUGAAAGUCAAUCUUUC